CUGGCAGUAAACGGUGGAUACUAGGUAUCAGGGGUCAAGGCCUUUGGUGCCGAAGCCAACGCGUUAAGUAUCCCGCCUGGGGACUACGGCCGCAAGGUUAAAACUCAAAGGAAUUGACGGGGACCCGCACAAGCAGCGGAGCGUGUGGUUUAAUUCGAUGCAACACGAAGAACCUCACCUGGGUUUGACAUAUACGUAGUAGGGAACCGAAAGGGGACCGACGCUUCGGCGAGCGUAUACAGGUGC
rnacentral:rRNA from 1 species